rnacentral:rRNA from 1 species
GUAGGUGGCAAGCGUUGUCCGGAAUUAUUGGGGCGUAAAGCGCGCGCAGGCGGUUCUUUAAGUCUGAUGUGAAAGCCCACGGGCUCAACCGUGGAGGGUCAUUGGAAACUGGAGAACUUGAGUACAGAAGAGGAAAGCGGAAGUUCCACGUGUAGCGGUGAAAUGCGUAGAGAUGUGGAGGAACACCAGUGGCGAAGGCGGCUUUCUGGUCUGUAACUGACGCUGAGGCGCGAAAGCGUGGGGAGCAAACAGGAUUAGAUACCCUGGUAGUCCACGCCGUAAACGAUGAGUGCUAAGUGUUAGGGGGUUUCCGCCCCUUAGUGCUGCAGCUAACGCAUUAAGCACUCCGCCUGGGGAGUACGGCCGCAAAGGCUG